rnacentral:tRNA from 1 species
GCCUUUAUAGCUUAAAACACCUUAAAGCACAACCCUGAAGAAGUUGAGAUGAUUUAUAUCUAAAGGCA